GAUGAACGCUGGCGGCGUGCUUAACACAUGCAAGUCGAACGAAGCAUUUAGAACAGAUUACUUCGGUUUGAAGUUCUUUGUGACUGAGUGGCGGACGGGUGAGUAACGCGUGGGUAACCUGCCUUGUACUGGGGGAUAGCAGCUGGAAACGGCUGGUAAUACCGCAUAAGCGCACAAUGUUGCAUGACAUGGUGUGAAAAACUCCGGUGGUAUAAGAUGGACCCGCGUCUGAUUAGCUAGUUGGUGAGAUAACAGCCCACCAAGGCGACGAUCAGUAGCCGACCUGAGAGGGUGACCGGCCACAUUGGGACUGAGACACGGCCCAGACUCCUACGGGAAGCAGCAGUGGGGAAUAUUGCACAAUGGAGGAAACUCUGAUGCAGCGACGCCGCGUGAGUGAAGAAGUAAUUCGUUAUGUAAAGCUCUAUCAGCAGGGAAGAUAGUGACGGUACCUGACUAAGAAGCGCCGGCUAAAUACGUG
rnacentral:rRNA from 1 species